rnacentral:rRNA from 1 species
GUAGUUAGCCGUGGCUUCCUCCUUAGGUACCGUCAUUAUCGUCCCUAAAGACAGAGCUUUACAAUCCGAAAACCUUCUUCCCUCACGCGGCGUUGCUGGGUCAGGCUUGCGCCCAUUGCCCAAUAUUCCCCACUGCUGCCUCCCGUAGGAGUCUGGACCGUGUCUCAGUUCCAGUGUGGCCGAUCAGCCUCUCAGCUCGGCUACCCAUCGUCGGCUUGGUGGGCUGUUAUCUCACCAACUACCUAAUGGGACGCGAACCCCUCUAAAAGCGAUAAAUCUUUGACCUCUUCCCGAUGCCGGGUUGUGGUCUUAUGCGGUAUUAGCAGUUGUUUCCACCUGUUAUUCCCCACUCUUAGGCAGGUUGUUCACGCGUUACUCACCCGUGCGCCACUAGAAUUAUCAAUUCCAUCCGAAAACUUCCUUAAUAAUCCCCGUUCGACUUGCAUGUGUUAGGCACGCCGCCAGCGUUCGUCCUAAGCCAGAAUACAAACUACUGA